rnacentral:rRNA from 1 species
GUAAGCUACUAAGAGCGAAUGGUGGAUGCCUUGACUGGUAAAGGCGAUGAAGGACGUACUAGACUGCGAUAAGCUACGGGGAGCUGUCAAGAAGCUUUGAUCCGUAGAUUUCCGAAUGGGGCAACCCAAUGUAUAGAGAUAUACAUUACCUAUAUAGGAGCGAACGAGGGGAAUUGAAACAUCUUAGUACCCUCAGGAAAAGAAAUCAAUAGAGAUUGCGUCAGUAGCGGCGAGCGAAAGCGCAAGAGGGCAAACCCAGUGCUUGCACUGGGGGUUGUAGGACUGCAAUGUGCAAGAGGUAAGUUUAGCAGAACAUUCUGGAAAGUAUAACCAUAGAGGGUGAUAGUCCCGUAUGCGAAAAACAAACCUUAGCUAGCAGUAUCCUGAGUAGGGCGGGACACGAGGAAUCCUGUCUGAAUCCGGGUCGACCACGAUCCAACCCUAAAUACUAAUACCAGAUCGAUAGUGCACAAGUACCGUGAGGGAAAGGUGAAAAGAACUGAGGUGAUCAGAGUGAAAUAGAACCUGAAACCAUUUGCUUACA